ACAUGAUAUGCGGAACAUCAGGCUCACCCCACGAGAAGCAGUGCAUGGUCAACGCCGCCCUCAGCAUGGAGAUCUGCUGGAAGUGAUGUACUUUCUCGCUCUGGGGGGCACAGCUGUGUGGAAUAUGAAGAGAAAAGAGGCUAGCUUGAGCAGCAGCGAAAUUUUAUCUGCAGAAAGAGUAACAAACUGCAAUUAUCACUUGUUUGUACGCUAUGUCUCCCACAUGAUCUCACACCCUGCUAAAAUGCCACAUAGACAAGAGGUUGUAUUUUCCUAUAAAGGCUGA
rnacentral:lncRNA from 1 species